AUGGAAGCCGACUCCUCGCCCUCGCCGCUGCGCGUCGUGGUCGUCCCGUGGCUCGCGUUCGGCCACCUGCUCCCGUACCUGGAGCUCUCCGAGCGGCUCGCCGAGCGGGGCCACAGCGUGAGCUACGUCUCCACGCCGCGCAACCUCGCCCGCCUCCCGCCGGUGCGCCCCGCCGCCGCGCCGCGCGUGGACCUCGUCGCCCUCCCGCUGCCGCGCGUCGACGGCCUCCCCGACGGGGAGUCCACCAACGACAUCUCCUACGGCGAGCGUAAGUUCCACUGGAAGGCCUUCGACGGCCUCGCCGCGCCCUUCGCGGAGUUCCUGGCCGCCGCGUGCGCCGACGAGGCCACCAGGCCUCACUGGAUCGUCGCCGACUGCUUCCACCACUGGGCCGCCGCCGCCGCCCUCGAGCACAAGGUGCCAUUGGCGAUGCUUCAGCCGACCGCUGCUUCGAUCGCCGCUGCGCAACGCCCGCCGUCGGUGCACCCCGACCCCGAUGCCUCUGUGGUUGAACAGCCAGGAGCCGCGGCCGCGCGCGCUGUGCCCCGUUACGAACGGGAGGGGCAUGCAGCGUUUACCACUGGCCAUGGCGCGUCGUCGGGUGGUAUGUCCGUCGUCCAGCGCUUUAUCUUGACAAAAGACGGGAGCACGGUAGCGGCCAUGCGGAGCUGCAUCGAGUGGGAACCCGAGACCUUCCCUCUGGCGGAGACGCUCCUCGGCAAGCCGGUCAUUCCCCUCGGCCUUCUGCCUCCGUCAGCCGAGGGAGCCCGCCGUGCCGCCGCCCAAGGAGAAGAGCACGCCACCGAGCAGUGGCUGAACGCGCAACCGCCCGACUCCGUUAUUUACGUCGCACUGGGAAGCGAGGUGCCGCUGCGCGUGGAGCAGGUGCACGAGAUGGCGUUCGGGCUAGAGCUCGCCGGGACACGCUUCCUCUGGGCUCUGAGAAAGCCCAGCGGCGCCGCCGACGACGACAGCGCCGACAUGCUCCCUCCCGGUUUCCAGGACCGCACCAGCGGCCGCGGGCUGGUGACCACGGGGUGGGUUCCCCAGAUGAGCAUCCUGGCGCACGCGGCCGUGGGCGGGUUCCUGACACACUGCGGACGGAACUCGCUGAUCGAGAGCCUCCUGUUCGGGCACCCUCUGGUGAUGCUGCCCAUCUACGGCGACCAAGGGCCGAACGCGCGGCAGAUGGAGGCGAAGCAGGUGGGGUUGCAGGUGGCGAGGAACGAGGACGACGGGUCGUUCGACCGCCAUGGCGUCUCGACCGCCGUCCGGGCCGUCAUGGUUGAGGAAGAGGCCAGGAGGGGCUUCGUGGCAGGCGCAGCAAAGAUACAGGCGGUCGUAGCUGAUACGGAGCUCCACGGCAGGUACAUCGAUGAAUUUGUCGAGCACCUCAGAUCUUACGCCGCAGCAAGUGCAAACUGA
rnacentral:rRNA from 1 species